AACGAACGCUGGCGGCAUGCCUAACACAUGCAAGUCGAACGAAGCCUUCGGGCUUAGUGGCGCACGGGUGCGUAACGCGUGGGAAUCUGCCCUUUGGUUCGGAAUAACAGUUGGAAACGACUGCUAAUACCGGAUGAUGACGAAAGUCCAAAGAUUUAUCGCCAGAGGAUGAGCCCGCGUAGGAUUAGCUAGUUGGUGUGGUAAAGGCGCACCAAGGCGACGAUCCUUAGCUGGUCUGAGAGGAUGAUCAGCCACACUGGGACUGAGACACGGCCCAGACUCCUACGGGAGGCAGCAGUGGGGAAUAUUGGACAAUGGGCGAAAGCCUGAUCCAGCAAUGCCGCGUGAGUGAUGAGGGCCCUAGGGUUGUAAAGCUCUUUUACCCGGGAUGAUAAUGACAGUACCGGGAGAAUAAGCCCCGGCUAACUCCGUGCCAGCCGCCGCCGUAA
rnacentral:rRNA from 1 species